rnacentral:rRNA from 1 species
CAGCAGCCGCGGGAAUACGAGGGGGGCAAGCGUUGUUCGGAAUUAUUGGGCGUAAAGGGUGCGUAGGCGGCUUGACAAGUCUUGUGUGAAAUCUAUGGGCUCAACCCAUAGUCUGCACGGGAAACUGUCGGGCUUGAGUAUGGGAGAGGUGAGUGGAAUUUCCGGUGUAGCGGUGAAAUGCGUAGAUAUCGGAAGGAACACCUGUGGCGAAAGCGGCUCACUGGACCAUUACUGACGCUGAGGCGCGAAAGCUAGGGGAGCAAACAGGAUUAGAUACCCCGGUAGUCCCUGUCUCUUAUAA